rnacentral:rRNA from 1 species
GACGGAGGAUGCAAGUGUUAUCCGGAAUCACUGGGCGUAAAGCGUCUGUAGGUGGUUUAAAAAGUCUACUGUUAAAAAUUGAAGCUUAACUUCAAAGAUGCCGUAGAAACUUUUAAACUUGAGGACGGUAGGGGCAGAGGGAAUUUCCGGUGGAGCGGUGAAAUGCGUAGAGAUCGGAAAGAACACCAACGGCGAAAGCACUCUGCUGGGGCCGACACUGACACUGAGAGACGAAAGCUAGGGGAGCGAAUGGG